ACCUGACGAUGUGGCCAUCUACGGAGCAGGUCCUUAAAACGCUCCUAGGUCUCAAAGAAAAGUUCCCCAUCCAUUUGUGCAAAACUUGUGAUUGCCCGCCGCAGCU